CAGCAGGGGGCAGCAGCAGCUCAGGAGCAAGCAGCCGCCGCAGGAAGACGAAGGCUUCUUCUCCAAACUAAAGAAAAUGUUUAGCUGACAACAGGCUGCAGGUAGAAAACCUCGAACCAGGUGAAGGAAGACAAAUCCACCGACUGCUGCACGCUGCCUCCUCCUGUGUGGACACACACACACACACACACACACACACACAGGACUGUGGUUCAGCUCUGCAGACAGAUGCUCCGCCAACACUUGGACCACACUGAGUGUCGGACAGCUUCUUCUGCAGGAUGCUUCACGCCAACAUGUCUCCUCGCUUCCUUCACUCGCGUCUCUUCCUCGCAGGAGAAGAAGAAAUCCUUGUUUGCAUAUAAACAUAUUCAAACUGUGUGACGUGCAGCGUUUAUACGUCACGCUGCAGGACAGUCGUGUUCCCUCCUGCAGAAGCCUCCUCACUCCUCGAGCAGCGAUCACAGGAAGGCAGAGGACACGAGGAAGCGUGAAGUAACUGUAAAGACAACGUACACUAAACAUGCAGUUCUGAGAGAUGCUUUGGGAAAAUAUUCUAAUAUAAUAGAGAAGAGAAGUUGUGAUCACGGUUUCUCUUCUUAGUCCAGUAAGAUUUAUUUUGUGAAUGAUUCAUCAACGGAUGCUGAGACUUCCUGUAGUCGUAUUUAGCGUCAGAUGUCUUUACUUUGAUUUGUUGUGAAACUGCUUAAUUUAAUAAAUGAAGCAAAUUCUUAAUAAACUUUAA